rnacentral:rRNA from 1 species
CGUCAGGAUAUGCCUAGGUGGGAUUAGCUAGUUGGUGAGGUAAGGGCUCACCAAGGCAACGAUCCCUAGCUGGUCUGAGAGGAUGAUCAGCCACACUGGAACUGAGACACGGUCCAGACUCCUACGGGAGGCAGCAGUGGGGAAUAUUGCACAAUGGGCGCAAGCCUGAUGCAGCCAUGCCGCGUGUAUGAAGAAGGCCUUCGGGUUGUAAAGUACUUUCAGUCGUGAGGAAGGUGGUGUCGUUAAUAGCUGCAUUAUUUGACGUUAGCGACAGAAGAAGCACCGGCUAACUCCGUGCCAGCAGCCGCGGUAAUACGGAGGGUGCGAGCGUUAAUCGGAAUUACUGGGCGUAAAGCGCAUGCAGGUGGUUUGUUAAGUCAGAUGUGAAAGCCCGGGGCUCAACCUCGGAAUAGCAUUUGAAACUGGCAGACUAGAGUACUGUAGAGGGGGGUAGAAUUUCAGGUGUAGCGGUGAAAUGCGUAGAGAUCUGAAGGAAUACCGGUGGCGAAGGCGGCCCCCUGGACAGAUACUGACACUCAGAUGCGAAAGCGUGGGGAGCAAACAGGAUUAGAUACCCUCCUGGGGAG